CUCCUACGGGAGGCAGCAGUGAGGAAUUUCGCGCAAUGGGGGAAACCCUGACGCAGCAACGCCGCGUGAGUGAAGAAGGCCUUCGGGUCGUAAAGCUCUGUCAAGUGGGAAGAACCCUUCGGGUGUUAACAGCACCUGGAGCUGACGGUACCACUGAAGGAAGCACCGGCUAACUCCGUGCCAGCAGCCGCGGUAAUACGGAGGGUGCAAGCGUUAUUCGGAAUUACUGGGCGUAAAGGGCGCGCAGGCGGCCUGUUAAGUCAGUUGUGAAAGCCCGGGGCUCAACCCCGGAAGUGCGACUGAAACUGGCAGGCUUGAGUAUGGGAGAGGGAAGUGGAAUUCCUGGUGUAGCGGUGAAAUGCGUAGAUAUCAGGAGGAACACCGGUGGCGAAGGCGACCUCCUGGACCAAUACUGACGCUGAGGCGCGAAGGCGUGGGUAGCAAACAGGAUUAGAUACCCUGGUAGUCCACGCAGUAAACGGUGAUCACUAGGUGUUGCGGGCUUUGAUGUCUGCAGUGCCGAAGCAAACGCAUUAAGUGAUCCGCCUGGGGAGUACGGCCGCAAGGUUAAAACUCAAAGGAAUUGACGG
rnacentral:rRNA from 1 species